rnacentral:tRNA from 1 species
CAGGGAGACAACAAAAUGUUAAAUAUUAUUUUGUCACCUUAGGUCGAUCGGUAUCUCACGUUCUUAAUUAAUUAAGAAUUUCAUUUUCUAAGUUUUUCUAGGUCACACCCAUUAUUUUUCCUGGGCCAUUAGCUCAGGUGGUUAGAGCGCACCCCUGAUAAGGGUGAGGUCCCUGGUUCAAGUCCAGGAUGGCCCAUAUCUCUAUGUUGGGGGUAUAGCUCAGUUGGUAGAGCGCCUGCUUUGCAAGCAGGAUGUCAGCGGUUCGAGUCCGCUUACCUCCACUGAUUACCACCUCUUCCAUAAUCUGUAGAAAGGAAAUGUUUUGAGUUGUGAUCAAAUUCUGAACGAAUCUAGCUUCCUAAUGAAAUUAUUAAGAUGCUGGACUCAUUGAAUUAAUUUCAUUGUUUUCAGAGAACCUUGACAACUGCAUAGAUUAUUUUUUUAAAGACAAUAAGCAUCUUUAAUGAUGCAGAUUUAUUAUUUGUGCGAAUGCAUUAAUAACAAUUCUAUUAAGCUGAUGCUUCAA